GUGCUGGGUGGCCAUCCCCAUUCUCUUGGAUGGGGAUCCCUCCCUUACCAGCAGGGUGAAGAGGAGUUGAUUUAAACACCAUGUAUGAUCUGCCAUGGCUGCAAUGAGGCCCCAUUCUCCCAGUGCCCUUUGCUGUGGAAUAAUCGGGAUGGGAGAAAUCAAUUUGAAGACACAUUUACCUUCAACUGGGAGUAUGUGGCCAUUUCCACAAGUUUUCUGGGGGUGCAGUUUUAGGCAGUGUAAUCAGUGGAUGGGAGAGAGAUUUUUGGAAGUGAACAUCCUGCAACCCUAUCGCGGGGAUGACUGUCUUCCUCGCCUGAUGAUAAGACCUGUCCUAAAUACUCAACAUCUAUGCUUGUGGACCAGAGGAGAAUAAUCUAUUCAAUACUUGCAAAUAAACCAUUAAAAGACUUCUGAUCAUCUUCACAAUCCUGGCAACUACUUGCUCCUUGAGUUUUCAAGUUCCGGGAAGGGUCAUUUAUGGAACUUGUUUUCUUACCCAUAAGAUGAACUGAGCACCAACUCAUUUGCAUAUUUGUUCAUCAUCACAUUUCCAGGCACCGCAGACAAAUCUUUGCUCUUAAAGACCUUCUAGUUAGAAGAUGGAGAUUGCAGCUUCAUAGACUCAAUGUAUCAGAGACCUCAUGUUUGUCUCCAUGUUGGUUUACUGAGUCAACAGCCACAAGGUUGUCAAGGUUGGGAAAUAUUUUCAUUAUAGAGAAAUUUUGCUUAUAAUGAUAUUUGUUUUGUUUGGAUUUUGGCUAAGCUGUGAGGAUAACUCAGUUGGAUCGCUGGGAUAGUGAAGACCCCUUCUUGCUGUGCUUCUCUUUUAACAUUUGGGGAGGAUUUUCUGAAAGCUUCCUUCUGUCUGCAAUGUGAUACAUUGAGAAGGUCAACAGCUAUGCAAAUAUAUGAACAAGGAUCUUGUUUAUUGUGAAGAAAACUGGUUUGUUUGCUUAAGGAAGACGUGUCUUUCUUAAAACUGCCACUUCUGUGAGGAUGUUAAAUUGACCUUGGCUAGGAACUACAAAUUGCAGAGUUAGUC
rnacentral:lncRNA from 1 species